rnacentral:tRNA from 1 species
GGAGGAUUAGCUCAGUUGGUUAGAGCAGGACCUUUACACGGUCAAGGUCGGGGGUUCGAGUCCCUCAUCCUCCACCA